rnacentral:rRNA from 1 species
UGAAGCGGUGCUUGCACCGUGGAUUAGUGGCGAACGGGUGAGUAAUACGUGAGUGACCUACCUUUGACUCUGGGAUAAGCCUGGGAAACUGGGUCUAAUACCGGAUACGACCAAUCUCUGCAUGGGGUGUUGGUGGAAAGCGUUAUGGAGUGGUUUUAGAUGGGCUCACGGCCUAUCAGCUUGUUGGUGAGGUAAUGGCUUACCAAGGCGACGACGGGUAGCCGGCCUGAGAGGGUGACCGGCCACACUGGGACUGAGACACGGCCCAGACUCCUACGGGAGGCAGCAGUGGGGAAUAUUGCACAAUGGGCGCAAGCCUGAUGCAGCGACGCCGCGUGAGGGAUGACGGCCUUCGGGUUGUAAACCUCUGUUAGCAUCGAAGAAGCGAAAGUGACGGUAGGUGCAGAGAAAGCGCCGGCUAACUACGUGCCAGCGGCCGCGGUAAUACGUAGGGCGCGAGCGUUGUCCGGAAUUAUUGGGCGUAAAGAGCUUGUAGGCGGUUGGUCGCGUCUGCUGUGAAAGGCCGGGGCUUAACUCCGGUUUUGCAGUGGGUACGGGCUAACUAGAGUGCAGUAGGGGAGACUGGAAUUCCUGGUGUAGCGGUGGAAUGCACAGAUAUCAGGAGGAACACCGAUGGCGAAGGCAGGUCUCUGGGCUGUAACUGACGCUGAGAAGCGAAAGCAUGGGGAGCGAAC